rnacentral:tRNA from 1 species
GUCCCCAUCGUCUAGAGGCCUAGGACACUUUCCUUUCACGAAAGCGACGGGGGUUCGACUCCCCCUGGGGAUA